rnacentral:rRNA from 1 species
UACGGAGGAUGCAAGCGUUAUCCGGAAUGAUUGGGCGUAAAGCGUCCGCAGGUGGCUGUGUAAGUCUGCUGUCAAAGAGCAAAGCUCAACUUUGUAAAGGCAGUGGAAACUACACGGCUAGAGUGCGUUCGGGGCAGAGGGAAUUCCUGGUGUAGCGGUGAAAUGCGUAGAGAUCAGGAAGAACAUCGGUGGCGAAGGCGCUCUGCUGGACCAUAACCGACACUCAGGGACGAAAGCUAGGGGAGCGAAAGGG